UCAGCUUUAAAUAACAAUUUAAAGCCAGAGCAUCAAACUGUCAAAAAUUUUGCAGCCGUUAUGCUAACCAAUAUCCAAAUUCAUCCAUACAUAUUUUAACAUCAAAACCAGCAUCCAAAUUCAAAGAUAAGUCGGGCAACCAACAUCCACCAAGUCACACAAAUAGAAAAAACAAAGACAAAGUGUCAACAUUCAAGUAAAUGUCUUCAACAGGCAAUGUCAAUUGUCAAGAAAUAACCAUACUUACAAAAGUGAAACAAAUUUUGCAAUUAAAGCAAUAAAACAACAGCUUCUUGUCCAUUCCAAGAUAAUCCUUUCCAACUUUCCAAUUUCAACUGCAGGCCCUAUCACAAAAAAAAUAAUUUAAGUAAUAAAAUAGUAGUGGUAAAAUCUAAAACAAGAUAUUUGAAGAGGAAUCGAAGUGUUAAACACAAGCUAUGUACCUUUCCAAUUAUCACAUUCAUUUUAUGGGAAGUAGAAUCUCUUUUGCUGCCUUCAAUUUCUGCAAAAUAAUAAUAAUAAGAAGAAUAACAAUAAGUAGUAAACUAAUUUUGUAUCAAUAAUAUGAAUUUAAAAUAAACUUACUUUUAUCUAAUAAUAGCAUACAACUUUGAAAGUUCAAUUCACAAACUACUUUUAAGAGCUUUUCUAUACAGAUUUUGCAGGAAUCACAUGAAAACCAUGAGUCUUUAAAGGUCAUCAGAUCUUAUCAUUUACUAGGGAGAAAUUAUCAUUGUAAUAGACAUUGGAAUACUGAAUUCUUUUGUAUCAUAACUCUAAUUUGCAACUCAAUCCAUUCUCUAUAAAAGAAAACAUGCCUAAAACGAAAAGAAAAUGAUCCGUGGAUGGUAUGGUAGAGUCUUUUAGUGUUAAAGGAGAACAGUUGCAAGUCAUUCCAUUACAAAAACUAGCCAGCGUUGUCUGACGGUUUUUUCAUUUAGAAACAAACAUUUAAUAAUGGCGGCAUGCCACAAAUCUAUCAAUAUAUCCGGAGGAGAAACUUUAUUACUACUAUUUUGCUUUAACAACUAGUACUAGCAUUUCUCUGCCUCCUUAAAUUAAAGUUCAAAAAUCAUUAAUUUUCCAAAAAAAAAAAGAUCCAAAAAAUUUAUAUUCCAUCUACAAGCUUUUCGGAAAGUAUAAAAUCCUAAACCCCAAUUCUGAAAUUUAAUACUAGAAAACCAAAAAAAAAAGAAGAAAACCUCAUUUUUUUUUCACUUCGGAUACGCUCAAUUCGUUUUGAACUCAACUAAAUUAAAUUGUUAAAAACCUGCUUAAUUUCAAAGGGCCCUAAAUAAAUACUCAGAAUUCUAGUUUGGUCCAGCAGAGAGGGCGUUGACUUGCAUAGCGCAAUGCCUCCAAAUGGCCGAAAUUUAUGAUUGUUUCUUUUGCAAACAAAAAAUUUUCAUAACCCUCUCGGGCACUCACCAUGGAGGUCAGGUUACCAACAUUAGUUGACUUUUUACUAAGGUGCAUAUUCGCAAAGGAGCAGGUCUUGGUAAUUAGAAAGUAAGCCCAAGGUGCAGAUUCUCUAAAGGUCUCUAAAUAUUCAUCUUCGGUGACCAAAGAAAGCUGAUAAGCAAAAGAAUGAAAAGCAUUCGAAGUCACAAAGUACAAAAGGGAUCACAUCUUACCUUCUGCACACCUGCACCUGCUUCCAAGAUCCACCUUCCGCUAGCUGCACAACUGCACUUGCUGCACAAUCCACUUCCAAUCGGCGGAUGAUGACAAUAGAGAAAAGAAACGACUGGAGUUAAAUCUUGCCGAAUGGGUUUGAUUUGGAAUUGGAAUUAGGGAUUGAGGUGAGGAAUUGGGAUUUUAGGGACUGAGGUGAGGAGCUCUUCAAGAAGACGGUGGACA
rnacentral:lncRNA from 1 species